rnacentral:sRNA from 1 species
CACAGACCCAAAGUGGGACAUUGAGCAAGGCACAGGCUGGUUCCCUUCCUUUCCUCUGUCCUCAUUCUGUGAGUGCCACCAUCACCAGGUACUGUGGCCUGCAGAAAUAAACGAGGCACCAACCCUGCCCUCAGGGACCCCGUGUCUUCUUAGGGACAGAGGACUCAGAAACAUCUGUGUCCCCGCAUGUUAAGUGCAUGCACACAGUGCUGAGGAUUUGCAGAGAAGGGCCAUGGCUCCCUGAGGAGACCAAGAAAGGCACAUAGAAGUGACUUCUCAGCUGGCCCUUGCAGGAUCCCUGGGUGCCUGUACCUCUCCAGUCCAGCUGAGCAAGGAGGCUCAGGAAUUAAUGAGGAUGGGGCUUGUGUAGCACGAUGGUUCUAGGCCAUCCCUUUUCCAUGGCUCAAGUCCAUUGAAGGCAGCCUCCAAAAUCAGGUUGCCUGAUCCUCCUAGUGCCACAAUCCCAGUCCUAGCUAGAACUUGCCAUGGUUCUUCUCCCUAAAAGUUCCCAGGGGACAGGAGACAGGUGUUGCUUUUCUAAUGGAGCAGGACCUCGCAUGGACGGGGCCCUCCAAGCCUGCUAACACCCUGUUCGCACUGACUCAGCCCUGGAAGAGAGGCCGGCAGUGAUGACCUCGCCCCUGUACCUGGAGAUCAUCAUCUAUUGCACAGGGGCCUUCCUCAUCUCCUGCAUGGUGGGGUCGGUCAUCGUCUACAAGAUGAAGAGUGGUACCAAGAAGAGUGACUUCCACAGCCAGAUGGCUGUGCACAAGCUGGCCAAGAGCAUCCCUCUGCGCAGACAGGUGUCUGCUGACUCCAGUGCAUCCAUGAACUCUGGGGUUCUUCUGGUUCGGCCAUCACGGCUCUCCUCCAGUGGGACUCCCAUGCUAGCAGGGGUCUCUGAGUAUGAGCUUCCCGAAGACCCUCGCUGGGAGCUGCCUCGGGACAGACUGGUCUUAGGCAAACCCCUGGGAGAGGGCUGCUUUGGGCAGGUGGUGUUGGCAGAGGCUAUCGGGCUGGACAAGGACAAACCCAACCGUGUGACCAAAGUGGCUGUGAAGAUGUUGAAGUCGGACGCAACAGAGAAAGACUUGUCAGACCUGAUCUCAGAAAUGGAGAUGAUGAAGAUGAUCGGGAAGCAUAAGAAUAUCAUCAACCUGCUGGGGGCCUGCACGCAGGAUGGUCCCUUGUAUGUCAUCGUGGAGUAUGCCUCCAAGGGCAACCUGCGGGAGUACCUGCAGGCCCGGAGGCCCCCAGGGCUGGAAUACUGCUACAACCCCAGCCACAACCCAGAGGAGCAGCUCUCCUCCAAGGACCUGGUGUCCUGCGCCUACCAGGUGGCCCGAGGCAUGGAGUAUCUGGCCUCCAAGAAGUGCAUACACCGAGACCUGGCAGCCAGGAAUGUCCUGGUGACAGAGGACAAUGUGAUGAAGAUAGCAGACUUUGGCCUCGCACGGGACAUUCACCACAUCGACUACUAUAAAAAGACAACCAAC